rnacentral:rRNA from 1 species
GACGAACCGUGCGAACGUUGUUCGGAAUCACUGGGCUUAAAGGGCGCGUAGGCGGGCUCGCAAGUCAGGGGUGAAAGCCCACGGCUCAACCGUGGAAGUGCCUCUGAUACUUCGGGCCUCGAGGGAGGUAGGGGCGUGCGGAACUUCCGGUGGAGCGGUGAAAUGCGUAGAUAUCGGAAGGAACGUCGGUGGCGAAAGCGGCGCGCUGGACCUCUUCUGACGCUGAGGCGCGAAAGCCAGGGGAGCGAACGGG